GUGCCAAGCAGCCGCGGUAAUUCCAGCUCCAAUAGCGUAUAUUAAAGUUGUUGCAGUUAAAAAGCUCGUAGUUGAACUUCUGGCAGUGGGUAGGUGUGGCCUCGGUCAACUUACUCAUUGUCCUCCGUCUGCUUACCAUGUUCGGUCUUCACUGGUCGGCAUGGGGAGUAGACAUUUUACUUUGAAAAAAUUAGAGUGUUUCAAGCAGGCAAUCGCCAGAAUACUUUAGCAUGGAAUAAUGGAAUAGGACUCUAGUCCAUUUGGUUGGUUAUUGGAAUGGAGUAAUGAUUAAUAGGGACAGUUGGGGGCAUUAGUAUUUAAUUGUCGGAGGUGAAAUUCCAGGAUUUAUUAAAGACUAACUUAUGCGAAAGCAUUUGCCAAGGAUGUUUUCAUUAAUCAAGAACGAAAGUUAGGGGAUCAAAGACGAUCAGAUACCGUCCUAGUCUUAACUAUAAACGAUACCGACUCGGGAUUGUAAAGGUACCUGCGACCUUUGCAGCACCGUAUGAGAAAUCAAAGUCUUUGGGUUCUGGGCGGGAGUAUGGUCGCAAGGCUGAAACUUAAAGGAAUUGACGGAAGGACACCACCUGGAGUGGAGCCUGCGGCUUAAUUUGACUCAACACGGGAACACUUACCAGAUCAAAACAUGCAGUGGGAUUGACAGAUUGAGAGCUCUUUCUUCGAUUCG
rnacentral:rRNA from 2 species